CUACGUAGGGUGCAAGCGUUAAUCGGAAUUACUGGGCGUAAAGCGUGCGCAGGCGGCUUUGUAAGACAGUGGUGAAAUCACCGGGCUCAACCUGGGAACUGCCAUUGUGACUGCAAGGCUGGAGUGCGGCAGCGGGGGAUGGAAUUCCGCGUGUAGCAGUGAAAUGCGUAGAUAUGCGGAGGAACACCGAUGGCGAAGGCAAUCCCCUGGGCCUGCACUAACGCUCAUGCACGAAAGCGUUGGGAGCAAACAGGAUUAGAUACCCUGGUAGUCCACGCCCUAAACGAUGUCAACUGGUUGUUGGGGAUUUAUUUUCUCAGUAACGAAGCUAACGCGUGAAGUUGACCGCCUGGGGAGUACGGCCGCAAGGUUAAAACUUAAAGGAAUUGACGGGG
rnacentral:rRNA from 1 species